UGGGAAGUUUCAAUUCAGAAAAGAUACCUGUGCAACUCCUAUAAUUCCAGGGGAGUGCUCCACUUAACUAUAAGGCAUGGACUGAAUAUUGCGGCCAUGGAUGCUGGAGCACGGGCCCCUUGAGGAGCAGUUCUGAGCACUGGGAUUCCAGAUGUGUGCUACUGCACUUGACUUUAUGUGGGUUCUGAGGAUCCAAAGUCUGGUCUUUACAGUUGCACAGCAGGCUCUUUGUUCACUCUGCUGUUUCCCAAGCCCCAGCUGUUACUUUGAUGACACCCUGAACCGAUGCUAUAUACCAGAAGAAACAAACAUAAACAAGAGAAAUAUCAAAGAGAACAGAAGAUUAGCUAUACACCCUCAACAGAUCAAGAUGAUGGUACUAUCAACUGGAGACUCUUGCCACUCGGUACCAAGGGUCAAGACUGCUUUCCUGCUCUGGUCCGGAUGCGGAAGAGCUCUCCUUCGCUGGGCCUCAUUCAAGUUCAACUGCCUUUGUGUUGCUUGGGAGAGGAGCUAGAGCCGCAUUUCCAGGUGUGAACUGUGCUGUGAGCAACAAGUUUCUGACCACAGGCUCAGAAAUGGGCUAUAGGUCUCAGUGUUUUGACUUGGUCCUUCUAGAAAAUAAAGAAGUCCUAGGGCUGGAGCUUAGAAGGAGAUCUUAUGGCCCUUUGUUUGCUUUUCUAUUGCUUCAGUACAACACUGACUAAAAACAACUUGGAGAGGAAAGGGUUGAUUUCACCUCACAGAUCCAUUAUCAGGGUAGGAAUUCAAGGCAGAAACUUAAAGCAGAAACUAAAGCAGGAGUCUUGGAGGAAUUCAGGCUAUUUGCCUGCUCUCCAUGAUUUAGCUUGCUUUCUUUAACACCUAUGACUACUGCCCAGGGGUUGCACAUCCCACAGUGGGUGGGCCCUCUCAAGCCAAUCAUCCACAAAGAAAAUGCCUUCAGGCAAAUCUGAUGCAAACAUUUUCUCAGUUGAGGUUCCCUCUACCUAGAUGACUUUAGUUAUGUCAAGUUGACAAAAGACAGAACAAA
rnacentral:lncRNA from 1 species